UGGCCACUCUGCACAGGGGCUAGGGGUCUCUGGAUGUGGAGAAGAGCCCUAGAGUCCUCCUUUGGGCUGGGCACCCUUUCUGGACCUCAAGUCUGGGAAAGCAGGAGGGAUUCUGGUACCCCUGAGACGCCCUUCCUUCUCAGCAGGCCAUGAUACCCCUGUGACAGAGGAUAAGACAAAAGCUUCGGGAGGUGGGACAAGGUGCCUGGGUCACACAGAUGAGAUCGGAGCAGAAACAACAUCCAGAAGAGGACAUCUUUCAACUGCAGCGCAAACCAGACCUCCAUGGGAGUAAAAUUGUCAUUUGGUAUAACAUGAAUAUAGAAAAGGCUGAAAAAAGCCUUAUGUGGCAGAAGGCAGAGGACAGAGCAUCAUGGAAAGUGGCCAGUGACAAGGGACGUGAAUGACAGAGGAAUCAUAGAGUAUGCAUAGUCUCCUAAGAAACAGCAUGCUACAGAGGUGACAAUAGUCCUGAAACCCUGGUUAGGAUGAGCUACACAAAGUACUCAGCAGGAAUCCUGCUCAUUAUCAUCACUCUGCUGGACGUGGAGGUUUCAGAGAUCUCACAACUUGGAGAAAGCAGGAAAAUUUUUCUUUUAAUAGAAGCGGAGGAAAAUGAAUGAGGUCCCAGAUGGCUCCAGCUCCAGUACACCUGACCAGGACAGCACUGACCUGGGGAGACAUUAGGACUUUAACUCAUCAAGUCAAGACCUUGGGAAGACAACAACAAAGCACAAUACUACUGACCCUAAAAUGAUGCUGUGGUAUUUACUAACUGUAUCACAUGUUAAUUCUCAGCUUGUCAAUAUAAAAUACAAAUGUCA